GGUCCUUAAAUGUGGGAGAGAGAGGCAGAAGGAGAAGCAGAGCGAUGGCCGCCUGAGAGGGUCUGGCACAUUGGACACACGGGGAGCCACGGUGCUGUCCUCACAGCAGGCCAGCUGUGAGCAUCCCACACUGGCUGUGUCCAGAGAGCCUGGCUGAAUGCUCUGGUGUCUCAAGCUGUGCUGCGGGGAGUGAGGACAGACGGGGCCUCUUAGGACAGGCCAGCCCGGGACAAGGACAGAGCAGGCAGAGGCCACAGUCCAGGUGGUUGCAGCUGCUCUGCACCUGGAGAAGCACAGCCCUGACUCCUGUCCACCCAGCAAUCUCACCGUGCGCCUUUCCAGGCCUGCUGAGCAGAACUGUGUGGAAGGGUGAAGCAGAGAAGGCCUGGAGUCACCUUGGAUUGUGAAACCCAUCAGCAACUUUAAAGAAAUCAGCCAAGA